AUACGGAGGGUGCAAGCGUUACUCGGAAUUACUGGGCGUAAAGGGCGCGUAGGCGGUUUGAUAAGUCAGAUGUGAAAGCCCGAGGCUUAACCUCGGAAGUGCAUUUGAAACUGUCAAACUUGAGUAUGGGAGAGGGAAGUGGAAUUCCUGGUGUAGAGGUGAAAUUCGUAGAUAUCAGGAGGAACACCGGUGGCGAAGGCGACUUCCUGGACCAAUACUGACGCUGAGGCGCGAAGGCGUGGGGAGCAAACAGGAGUAGAAACCCGGGUAGUCC
rnacentral:rRNA from 1 species